GUCUACAGCCAUACCAUCCUGAAUGCGCCCGAUCUUGUCUGAUCUCGGAAGCUAAGCAGGGUCGGGCCUGGUUAGUACUUGGAUGGGAGAUUUCCCAAGUCUAUUCUCUCAGGCUUUGCGUU
rnacentral:rRNA from 1 species